rnacentral:rRNA from 1 species
GGAAUAUUGGGCAAUGGGGGGAACCCUGACCCAGCCAUGCCGCGUGAGGGAAGUAGGCCCUACGGGUCGUGAACCUCUUUUGUCGGGGGACAAGGACGCCGUCGCGAACGGUGUUUGCGGGUACCCGGCGAAUAAGCAUCGGCUAACUCCGUGCCAGCAGCCGCGGUAAUACGGAGGAUGCGAGCGUUAUCCGGAUUCAUUGGGUUUAAAGGGUGCGCAGGCGGCCCGGUACGUCAGCGGUGAAAGUCAGGGGCCCAACCCCGGAAGUGCCGUUGCUACUGUCGGGCUGGAAUGCGGUCGAAGCGGGCGGAAUGUGGUGUGUAGCGGUGAAAUGCGUAGAUAUGCCACAGAACGCCGAUAGCGAAGGCAGCUCGCCAGGCCUGCAUUGACGCUCGGGCACGAAAGCGUGGGGAUCGAACA